CCAAGGUUCAUUUUUAGAUCUGCCAAGCCUUUGAUCAAAUGGCAUUAAAGUAAGAUUGAGAAACAAAUGCUCCAAUAAUGGAUGCAUAGUGGGUGGAGGGUGUAAGUUGAGAAGAAUGUGGUGUGAAACCAAGGAAUGAUUUAUUAUUGUCCGUCCUUGGGAUCAGCAUUAAUGGCUGGCAAUCCAUCUUCUUGCUUUGGUUUCUGAUGGGGUGUGCGUAGGGUAGGGUAGGGUGUGUGAUAAGAUUGAGAUAGUUAUGAAUGGAUCGGCUGUACAGAAUCUGAAAUGUCAAAUCCAUGUCAGUUGAGCGAGAAUUCAUUUUACCUUUCUUUUCAUAUUAAAAUCCGUCUUAAAAACAUUGGAAGACACACAACCACUUUCUAUGUUAUACUACCACAAAUCGCAGGUCUAUGGCCCACUCUAAUGCAAUUAGGGCCCAUCUGGUGAAGACACGGCUGUGUAUUAUUGGUGCAAAAGCUGUAAUCUGGUUGGGACUUGAGAGGGAUAAAUUCUUGCAAAGUAGUUUACACAAAACAUUUAGAAUAUAUGUUUCAUUCUAAAGGUAUAAUAUUCACAUGAAUGAGAUUAUUAUUAUUUUUUUCCUUUUUCUUUCAGAUUCUGCCAUUGAUUAUGAGGGUGGAGAAUAUGAAACCUUCAGCAAGUUCUGUCGGGUGAUUAGUGUAUUUGCACCACUUGACAAUUCAAGAUAAUGUCUCUAUAAGUCAUUUUUUCAAGGUUUAUUUCAAAUAUCCGUAUGUAAAUUUAAGGCUGUGUGAACCUUACAAGAUAGAACUGUUGAAAAUAAUUAUCAUUGUGCAAAUUUGGG
rnacentral:lncRNA from 1 species